GACGAACGCUGGCGGCGUGCCUAAUACAUGCAAGUAGAACGCACAGUUUAUACCGUAGCUUGCUACACCAUAGACUGUGAGUUGCGAACGGGUGAGUAACGCGUAGGUAACCUGCCUGGUAGCGGGGGAUAACUAUUGGAAACGAUAGCUAAUACCGCAUAAUAUUAAUUAUUGCAUGAUAAUUAAUUGAAAGGUGCAAUUGCACCACUACCAGAUGGACCUGCGUUGUAUUAGCUAGUAGGUGAGGUAACGGCUCACCUAGGCGACGAUACAUAGCCGACCUGAGAGGGUGAGCGGCCACACUGGGACUGAGACACGGCCCAGACUCCUACGGGAGGCAGCAGUAGGGAAUCUUCGGCAAUGGACGAAAGUCUGACCGAGCAACGCCGCGUGAGUGAAGAAGGUUUUCGGAUCGUAAAGCUCUGUUGUAAGAGAAGAACGGGUGUGAGAGUGGAAAGGUCACACUGUGACGGUAUCUUACCAGAAAGGGACGGCUAACUACGUGC
rnacentral:rRNA from 1 species